rnacentral:rRNA from 1 species
UACGUAGGGUGCGAGCAUUGUCCGGAAUUAUUGGGCGUAAAGGGCUCGUAGGCGGUUUGUCGCGUCGGGAGUGAAAACUCAGGGCUUAACCCUGAGCCUGCUUCCGAUACGGGCAGACUAGAGGUAUGCAGGGGAGAAUGGAAUUCCUGGUGUAGCGGUGAAAUGCGCAGAUAUCAGGAGGAACACCGGUGGCGAAGGCGGUUCUCUGGGCAUUACCUGACGCUGAGGAGCGAAAGUGUGGGGAGCGAACAGG